rnacentral:rRNA from 1 species
AUACGAAGGGUGCAAGCGUUAAUCGGAAUUACUGGGCGUAAAGCGUGCGUAGGUGGUUGUUCAAGUCUGUCGUGAAGGCCCUGGGCUCAACCUGGGAAUUGCGAUGGAAACUGGAUGGCUAGAGUGUGGUAGAGGAUGGCGGAAUUCCCGGUGUAGCGGUGAGAUGCGUAGAGAUCGGGAGGAACAUCCGUGGCGAAGGCGGCCAUCUGGACCAACACUGACACUGAGGCACGAAAGCGUGGGGAGCAAACAGGAUUAGAUACCCUGGUAGUCCACGCCCUAAACGAUGCGAACUGGAUGUUGGUCUCAACUCGGAGAUCAGUGUCGAAGCUAACGCGUUAAGUUCGCCGCCUGGGGAGUACGGUCGCAAGACUGAA